AGGUAUGGCCAUACCACCCUGAACACGCCCGAUCUCGUCUGAUCUCGGAAGCUAAGCAGGGUCAGGCCUGGUUAGUACUUGGAUGGGAAAGGGCUACAUACACUUCGGCAUAGUGGCUAAUCAUUUUCU
rnacentral:rRNA from 1 species